rfam:Gallionella capsiferriformans ES-2, complete genome.
ACGACUCGCUGGGGGUCUUUGUCUGUUUUUUUCAGCAAAGUGAGAAACACCCUUUGAACCUGUACGGAUAAUGCCGUCGUAGGGAAGCACGAUGCUUCCCUU